rnacentral:rRNA from 1 species
UGCAGUCGACGCUUCUUUUCUACCGAGUGCUUGCACUCACUUGAAAAGAAGAGUGGCGGACGGGUGAGUAACACGUGGGUAACCUGCCCAUCAGAGGGGGAUAACACUUGGAAACAGGUGCUAAUACCGCAUAAUAGUCGACACCGCAUGGUGUUGAUUUGAAAGACGCUUUCGGGUGUCACUGAUGGAUGGACCCGCGGUGCAUUAGCUAGUUGGUGAGGUAACGGCUCACCAAGGCCAUGAUGCAUAGCCGACCUGAGAGGGUGAUCGGCCACACUGGGACUGAGACACGGCCCAGACUCCUACGGGAGGCAGCAGUAGGGAAUCUUCGGCAAUGGACGAAAGUCUGACCGAGCAACGCCGCGUGAGUGAAGAAGGUUUUCGGAUCGUAAAACUCUGUUGUUAGAGAAGAACAAGUGGGAGAGUAACUGCUCCCGCCUUGACGGUAUCUAACCAGAAAGCCACGGCUAACUACGUGCCAGCAGCCGCGGUAAUACGUAGGUGGCAAGCGUUGUCCGGAUUUAUUGGGCGUAAAGCGAGCGCAGGCGGUUUCUUAAGUCUGAUGUGAAAGCCCCCGGCUCAACCGGGGAGGGUCAUUGGAAACUGGGAGACUUGAGUGCAGAAGAGGAGAGUGGAAUUCCAUGUGUAGCGGUGAAAUGCGUAGAUAUAUGGAGGAACACCAGUGGCGAAGGCGACUCUCUGGUCUGUAACUGACGCUGAAGCUCGAAAGCGU